rnacentral:tRNA from 1 species
GGAAGCGUACCGAAGCGGUCACAACGGGGCGGUCUUGAAAACCGUUUGGGUGCAAGCCCACGGGGGUUCGAAUCCCUCCGCUUCCGCCA